AGCUGAGGCAGCCUGAACACCCAUUGCCAAGAUGCCACCCAAAAAAGUGCAAAUAGAAGUGGAAGAAAAAGAGGAAGAAGAUGAUGACACUGAAGAGAGCUCAAGUGAAGAGGAGAAGGAGGAAAAGUUACCACGAAGAAAGAGCAUGAGACCACAGAGGAAAAGGAACAGGGAUGUUAUCAAUGAGGAUGACCCACCGCCUGAACCGGAGGAUGAAGAAACCAGAAAAGCAAGGGAAAAAGAGAGGAGGAGGAAGAUGAAGAGAGGAGCGUAAGUUCAUUUG
rnacentral:lncRNA from 1 species